rnacentral:rRNA from 1 species
UACGUAGGGUGCAAGCGUUAAUCGGAAUUACUGGGCGUAAAGCGUGCGCAGGCGGUUCGGAAAGAGAGGUGUGAAAUCCCCGGGCUCAACCUGGGAAUUGCAUUUGUGACUGCACGGCUAGAGUGUGUCAGAGGGGGGUAGAAUUCCACGUGUAGUAGUGAAAUGCGUAGAGAUGUGGAGGAAUACCGAUUGCCAAGGCAGCCCCCUGGGAUAACACUGACGCUCAUGCACGAAAGCGUGGGGAGCAAACAGG